AGGAAAAGAAAGAGAUGAAGAAGAAGAAGACAAGAGAGAUCACACCUAAAUUGGAUCAAAUGCUUGAUAAAAUCAUCAUCAAAAUCAAUCAUCUAUUUUGGUGGAUUAGGGUUUUCACCCCAUCAACACCCAAGAUCCAUUGAGUUUGAUGAGACCUAUGAUCAAAUCAACUAAGAUCCAAGGCCAAUAGAAGUCAACAAAGGUCAAACAAGCAUAAAAAUGUAAAAGGAUAAAAUAAAAUGCAUUAAAAAUGUUUUUAAAAUGAAUUUUAAAAGGGAAAUAAAAUAGAAACUCCAUAAAGCCCUUAAAAACACCAAAUAAAUAGCCAAGAAAAUUAUAAAAGGUUGGAAAUAGAAUAAGAAGCAUA
rnacentral:lncRNA from 1 species